CAGCAUCUACUUUCCACAAAGCCCACUGUGCAUGUGCCUGCCAGUCAUCAGUGUACACCAGCCAUGCUGUUAGCCUUUUCCUGUAUAGCCCAUACUUAGAGUCAAAACUCGGAGGCCUUGACUACUUGGCUGAACAGUGAGCUAAUUUAAUUGUCCUAGAUAUGUACAAGAAAGAUCAGCAUCACUACCACUACAGAAAAAUCUAGAAAAACGGACAGAACAGAAAACCCCAGAUGGACGUGCAAGGCCAGAAACCCCAGCCACCUCUCCCAGUCACAUGAG
rnacentral:lncRNA from 1 species